GGAAGUAUAGCUCAGUGGUAGAGCACUUGCCUAGCAAGCAUGAGGCUCUGGUGUGGAUCCU
rnacentral:tRNA from 1 species